rnacentral:lncRNA from 1 species
ACAUGGGGCAUUACUACUUCAGUUUCUGUGUUUGUGCAGAAGCAGGGAGGAGGUAAAAAGCUAGUUUGGAGCUGGUUAGACCUGGUCUAGGCCCAGAGAAUUUGGCCACUGACAGCCUUUCUCUUUUCCUGGUAAUGCUGGUUUGAAUCAGAGGCCUCUCACUUCUCCUUAACAGGACUUGGUUUUCGACAGAAAAUAUUAAGGAAGAGCAAUAGGAAAUAGAACUACUGUAUUAUAACACUGUGAACAAGAACAUCAGCAGCAGCAGAAUUGUCAGCCUUCCUGCG